rnacentral:tRNA from 1 species
GGACCGGUAGUGUAGUGGUUAACACACUGAGUCCAGACGUGAAGAGGGGUGGUUCGAAUCCCUCCCGGUUCA